UCUUUGGUAGCUCAACUGGUAGAGAAUCUGCCUUCAAUGCAGGAGACCCUGGUUUGAUUCCUGGGUCAGGAA
rnacentral:tRNA from 1 species